rnacentral:rRNA from 1 species
UGCGUAGGCGGCGCGGAAAGUUGGGUGUGAAAUCCCUCGGCUCAACCGAGGAACUGCGCCCAAUACUACCGUGCUUGAGGGAGAUAGAGGUGAGCGGAACUUAGGGUGGAGCGGUGAAAUGCGUUGAUAUCCUAAGGAACACCGGUGGCGAAAGCGGCUCACUGGAUCUCUUCUGACGCUGAGGCACGAAAGCUAGGGUAGCGAACG